rnacentral:rRNA from 1 species
UUUAUGGAGAGUUUGAUCCUGGCUCAGGAUGAACGCUGGCGGCGUGCCUAAUACAUGCAAGUCGAGCGAACGGACGAGAAGCUUGCUUCUCUGAUGUUAGCGGCGGACGGGUGAGUAACACGUGGAUAACCUACCUAUAAGACUGGGAUAACUUCGGGAAACCGGAGCUAAUACCGGAUGAUAUUUUGAACCGCAUGGUUCAAAAGUGAAAGACGGUCUUGCUGUCACUUAUAGAUGGAUCCGCGCUGCAUUAGCUAGUUGGUAAGGUAACGGCUUACCAAGGCAACGAUGCAUAGCCGACCUGAGAGGGUGAUCGGCCACACUGGAACUGAGA